rnacentral:rRNA from 1 species
CAGCAGCCACGGGAAUACAGAGGGUGCGAGCGUUAAUCGGAAUUACUGGGCGUAAAGCGAGUGUAGGUGGCUCAUUAAGUCACAUGUGAAAUCCCCGGGCUUAACCUGGGAACUGCAUGUGAUACUGGUGGUGCUAGAAUAUGUGAGAGGGAAGUAGAAUUCCAGGUGUAGCGGUGAAAUGCGUAGAGAUCUGGAGGAAUACCGAUGGCGAAGGCAGCUUCCUGGCAUAAUAUUGACACUGAGAUUCGAAAGCGUGGGUAGCAAACAGGAUUAGAUACCCCCGUAGUCCCUGUCUCUUAUA